UACGUAGGGGGCAAGCGUUGUCCGGAAUUAUUGGGCGUAAAGAGCGCGUAGGCGGUCCGGUAAGUCGGUUGUGAAAGUCGGGGGCUCAACCCUCGGAUGCCGAUCGAUACUGUCGGGCUAGAGUCCGGAAGAGGAGAAUGGAAUUCCUGGUGUAGCGGUGAAAUGCGCAGAUAUCAGGAAGAACACCCGUGGCUAAGGCGGUUCUCUAGUACGGUACUGACGCUGAGACGCGAAAGCGUGGGGAGCGAACAGG
rnacentral:rRNA from 1 species